rnacentral:tRNA from 1 species
GAAGGUAUAGCGCAGUGGUAUAGCGCAUGCUUAGCAUGCAUGAGGUCCUGGGUUCAAUCUCCAGUGCCUCCA